rnacentral:rRNA from 1 species
AUGAACGCUGGCGGCGCGCCUAACACAUGCAAGUCGAACGAUUAAAGCACCUUCGGGUGUGUAUAAAGUGGCGAACGGCUGAGUAACACGUGGGCAACCUGCCCCUCUCAUUGGGAUAGCCACGGGAAACCGUGGAUAAUACCGAAUACUUCGGGACUUCCGCAUGGAAGACUCGAGAAAGCUCCGGCGGAGAGGGAUGGGCCCGCGGCCUGUUAGCUUGUUGGUGGGGUAAUGGCCUACCAAGGCAAUGAUGGGUAGCUGGGUUGAGAGACCGACCAGCCAGAUGGGGACUGAGACACGGCCCAGACUCCUACGGGAGGCAGCAGUGGGGAAUCUUGCACAAUGGGCGAAAGCCUGAUGCAGCGACGCCGCGUGCGGGAUGAAGGCCUUCGGGUUGUAAACCGCUUUCAGCAGGGACGAGGCGAAAGUGACGGUACCUGCAGAAGAAGCCCCGGCUAACUACGUG